AAGAGUCAUAUGAUGAUUUUUUGCAUAGUUCAAAUGAUAAUCUUUGUGAUUAAACAAAUUUGUCUUUCGCUCCUAUCUGAUGACUCAA
rfam:Ipomoea nil DNA, scaffold: scaffold2036, cultivar: Tokyo-kokei standard.